rnacentral:rRNA from 1 species
CCGACGGUGAGGGGUGAAGGCUGGGGGCGCAAACCGGAUUAGAUACCCGGGUAGUCCCAGCAGUAAACGAUGCCAGCUAUGUGCUGCUGGAACCAUGGGUUCCAGCAGUGCCGAAGGGAAGCCGUGAAGCUGGCCACCUGGGAAGUACGGUCGCAAGGCUGAAACUUAAAGGAAUUGGCGGGGGAGUACCACAACCGGUGGAGCCUGCGGUUUAAUUGGAUACAACGCCGGGAAUCUUACCGGAGGGGACAGCAGUAUGAAGGCCAGGCUAAAGACCUUGCCAGAUCAGCUGAGAGGAGGUGCAUGGCCGUCGCCAGUUCGUACCGUGAGGCAUCCUGUUUAGUCAGGCAACGAUCGAGACCCGCAGUCUUAUUUGCCAGCAUGCCCUUUGGGGCGUAUGGGUACAAUAGGACGACCGCCAGCGCUAAGCUGGAGGAAGGAGCGGGCUACGGUAGGUCAGCAUGCCCCGAAUCCUCCGGGAUACACGCGGGCUACAAUGGUCAGGACAAAAGGUACCGACCUCGAAAGAGUGAGGUAAUCCACAAACCUGAUCUCAGUCCGGAUCGAAGGCUGCAACUCGCCUUCGUGAAGAUGGAAUCGGUAGUAAUCGUGACUCAGAAUGUCACGGUGAAUAUGUC